ACUCCUGCGGGAGGCAGCAGUGGGGAAUAUUGCACAAUGGGCGCAAGCCUGAUGCAGCCAUGCCGCGUGUGUGAAGAAGGCCUUCGGGUUGUAAAGCACUUUCAGCGGGGAGGAAGGCGAUACGGUUAAUAACCGUGUUGAUUGACGUUACCCGCAGAAGAAGCACCGGCUAACUCCGUGCCAGCAGCCGCGGUAAUACGGAGGGUGCAAGCGUUAAUCGGAAUUACUGGGCGUAAAGCGCACGCAGGCGGUCUGUCAAGUCGGAUGUGAAAUCCCCGGGCUCAACCUGGGAACUGCAUUCGAGACUGGCAGGCUUGAGUCUUGUAGAGGGGGGUAGAAUUCCAGGUGUAGCGGUGAAAUGCGUAGAGAUCUGGAGGAAUACCGGUGGCGAAGGCGGUCCCCUGGACAAAGACUGACGCUCAGGUGCGAAAGCGUGGGGAGCAAACAGGAUUAGAAACCCCAGUAGUCCCA
rnacentral:rRNA from 1 species